GGGAGUGAAAUAGAACCUGAAACCCUGCACUUACAAGCGGUGGAAGCACAGUUCUUGUGGGACCGCGUACUUUUGGUAGAGCGGGCAAACGAGUUACGGUAGGUAGCAAGGUUAAGGAGUUAAGGUGUGGAGCGGUAGCGAAAGGGGGUUUUAACUGAGCGUUCAGUUACUUGACGUAGACCCGAAACCGGGCGACCUACCCAGGAGCAGGAUGAAGCGAAAGUAAAAUUUCGUGGAGGUCCGAACCCACGAGCGUUGAAAAGCUCGGGGAUGACUUGUGGGUAGCGGUGAAAUUCCAAUCGAGCCCGGAGAUAGCUGGUUCUCCCCGAAA
rnacentral:rRNA from 1 species